rnacentral:lncRNA from 1 species
CCAUUACCGAGCUGAGGGUCACCUACAUGCAAGGGGGACCAUUGGUGUCAUCUGCUAGCUCAGCUGAGUACUGAGGAUAGUUAAUGUGUCUUGCUGUGCAGACUGCAUGGAGCCUGCUCUCAGAUGUGUCUUGCCAUCACCAGAUAAGACAGGAACAUGUGCUGGCUUGUUUGGAUGAACGACACAUGGAAGGACUCAGAAGGGGCUCAGAGCGCUGUGGCUCUCCACAGGGAAGCAGCUCUAGCCUCUCUCUGGAGCCAUGCUCUGCUUGGCACAGUAGACCCCUGUGGAGCACUUCCUGUGAAGGAAUGGUACUGCUCAGCUGGAUGCGGAAUGACUGCAAAGGAAAGGCUUAUAAGCAGAAUGUAGGGCUGUGUUCAGAAAUCACCGAGGAGGUAGGUUUAGGUGGGUGCCAUGGUAACAGCCUGAACUGGGGCUGAGAUGCCAUGUGCUGAGUGUGCACUCCAAGGCUCAGCUCCUCAGAUGUGGUUAUGGUGCUGGAGGAUGGGGACCGGGCUGGAAAGAAGGGCGAAUCAACACUGGGAAGAUGAAGGUUCGCGGGUCAGUGCAGUCUCGACAGGGACCAGAGGUGAACCUGUCAUUUUCCAGGUGACUAGAGGUGAGUCUGACACUGUGAUCACUGUGUUCUGCAUUAGAUCCAUUUCAACAUCACAUCAACAAAGAACUGCAAGAAAAGGAAAUUCAAGCCGCUGCCUCAAGCCCUGCAGCUACCCAGCAACUGAAAUGGCCAGUCCUGGGACAUCUUGUCUUUUCAUCAAAGUUCCAGAAGAUGGAAACAUUUAAACCUCCAAAGGAUAUUGACCUAGCUUCAGUGAUCGAUGCCAGGUUUCACUUUUUCAUAAACAAGAUUCUGCCUCAGUACCGGGAUGCUGUCAUGUCUCACACCCUCAUCUAUGUCCCCUCCUACUUUGACUUUGUUCGUCUCCGAAAUUACUU